CCUUGUAACUGACCCAAGCGGAACAGAGAGCAUGAGACUCUUAAUCUCAGGGUCGUGGGUUCGAGCCCCAUGUCAGGGG